rnacentral:lncRNA from 1 species
UUGGAAAUGAGAAAAUAUACUAAAAAGAAAAUUGAGUAUAUUUUGUUUAUUCUUUUGUCAACAAAAAGAAAGCAUUUUUAUUUUUUUAAUUGAAUUGAGUAAGGUCAAUAGAAGAAUUCCUAUUCUACUUAUUCUAAGAGCGGAGCGAAUUUCAUUUCAUAUCGAUUAACUUAAUGGGUAAUGGAAUUCAUUAAUUUGAUUUUCAAAAUGAGUCAAUUUUUUUAGUCAAGUCGAUUCAGAUUAUUCCAACGUUUUAUUACUUAUUUUUUUUCGCACAAAAAAACCUUUUGAGUUCCCGGUAAAAAGAGAUUUCCCUAAGGAAAAUGCUUUUAACACUGUCUCGUAUCCUUUCCUUUUCCAAAUAUUUUUACGAAUAUGCUUUUUUGAUGCAGAAGUACUUUUUUUUGGAACUGCUAUUGAAAUACAAAUUAAGAGAUUAGUCAUUGUUAUAGCCGAAUGCGAAAGACAUCUAUUAUUCAAAAUGAAUCCGUAGUUUCCUAUUCAUUAGGAAUUUAUUUUCU